rnacentral:piRNA from 1 species
GGCAUGGCUUUGGUUGGAAUCCAGUG